AGUGAACGCUGGCGGCAGGCCUAAUACAUGCAAGUCGAACGGCAGCACAGCAGAGCUUGCUCUGUGGGUGGCGAGUGGCGGACGGGUGAGGAAUACAUGGGAAUCUGCCCAGUCGUGGGGGAUAACGUAUGGAAACGUACGCUAAUACCGCAUGCGCCCUACGGGGGAAAGCCGGGGACCGAAAGGCCUGGCGCGAUUGGAUGAGCCCAUGUUCGAUUAGCUAGUUGGCGGGGUAAAGGCCCACCAAGGCGACGAUCGAUAGCUGGUCUGAGAGGAUGAUCAGCCACACUGGAACUGAGACACGGUCCAGACUCCUACGGGAGGCAGCAGUAGGGAAUAUUGGACAAUGGGGGCAACCCUGAUCCAGCCAUGCCGCGUGAGGGAUGAAGGUCUUCGGAUUGUAAACCUCUGUCACUGGGGAGAAAACGCUUUGAGUUAAUAGUUCAAAGCCUGAUUUAACCCGGAGAGGAAGCAGUGGCUAACU
rnacentral:rRNA from 1 species